UGGUGACCCCAGGGAAAGUGCCUGUGUGUGUGUGUGUUGAAGAAGGCAGGGCCAGUCCACCUUUUGUGAUCCUGCUUUCUCUGAUCUCAUUAUGACGUGAACUUUCCUUCGUUUCCUUUUUCCUUAGUUUGGAAUCUUGGGAUGUGACUGACUGUACCAGUGAGUCAGUUACCUUUUUCUUUUUUUGCAACAGAGAGAACUAACAAGAUACUGGUGCUGGGAAUACUGGGCCUGGGUAUCCCAGAGGAACCUCUUCUCCCUAAAUGAAGAAGUUGAGGAAGGCUGCUUAUUCUCGUUGGGGAAAAUGAGGUCUGGAACCCAGGCUUUCUGACUCCAAGCCCAGUGCUCUUUCCUCGGAUUAAAAUAUCUCCAGAGUUGGACCCCAGUCUAUCCAUCCUCUCUCAAAAGGAGGCAAGAGGUUUCAAAUUCUUGUCAGGAUGAAACAGAACUGACAUCAGAAGGUU
rnacentral:lncRNA from 1 species